AGCUCAGUUGGUAGAGCAUUGAGACUCUUAAUCUCAGGGUCGUUGGUUCGUGCCCAGC
rnacentral:tRNA from 1 species